UAGGCAAGCACCAAUCCCUGGCAUUAUUGA
rnacentral:piRNA from 1 species